rnacentral:rRNA from 1 species
ACUGGUAGGCUUGGGACCGGGAGAGGUGGGAGGUACUCCAGGGGUAGGGGUGAAAUCUCGUAAUCCUUGGGGGACCACCGAUGGCGAAGGCAUCCCACCAGAACGGGUCCGACGGUGAGGGACGAAAGCUGGGGGCACGAACCAGAUUAGAUACCCGGGUAGUCCCAGCCGUAAACGAUGCUCGCUAGGUGUCAGGUGCGGUGCGACCGCAU